rnacentral:misc_RNA from 1 species
UAUUUCUUCACUUUUAAAAUGUAAAAAGAGAUAGUUGCAUACCUUUGUGUGGCCCAUAUUAUUAUAUUCAGCCUAUUGUGUCCGAAUUUCCUUCAAAACUGUAAAAAUCCGAAUUCAAACCUCCAUUAGAUAUCUUUUCAAGUUGCUCAUCAAUAACACUCACAAACAGUUUAACAAAAAAAUAACACUCACGCACAUAUAAACAGAUGGUUGCCUUUUAUUUUUCUUUCUUCAUCAUUUGAUGUCCUGUCUGGGAAUCGUCCCUACUGCUCAGAGCCAGUUGCAGUUAAAAUCGGCAACACAAUCAAGUAAAUCUAGGUUUUUCACUGCAAUCUUGUCGAG